rnacentral:lncRNA from 1 species
CUUUGCCAUGGGGUAGGAGCAGAGAGAGCAGAAGCAGAGAGCCAGGGAGUGAGAUCCCAGCCCCGGCCUUGGUCCUGGUCUUCCUGCUGGGGCCCUGCCCUGCUGGAGAGAGAAGCUGGCAGCCUCUCCCAGGGAGAACCAGGCCUCAUAGGCGGCAGUGCACGGAUGAUUUGGGGAUGUUGGCUCCCAUGUUGGCGAAAUGGAGAUCAAACUUAUUGAAGUUUGAGAAGUUUUAAAGAAUGUUAAUAGCUGACAACAGAGUUCUUGUCCUGGACGUCUCAAAUCGGAACACACAAUGCUGUACCGAGGAAACUGUUCUGUUGAUGGCUCUGGAGAGGCCCCCUGGAACUCUAGUUCUCAGCAGCCAACUCUGGUGAUGGAGGAUGGGAUUUAAAUGGUGGACACCUAAAGGAGAAGAAAGCACAAAAGAAUGUCCAAUCAA